CCUACGGGAGGCAGCAGUGGGGAAUAUUGGACAAUGGGCGCAAGCCUGAUCCAGCCAUACCGCGUGUGUGAAGAAGGCCUUCGGGUUGUAAAGCACUUUAAGCAGGGAGAAAAAGUUAUAAGUUAAUACCUUAUAACCGUGAUGUUACCUGCAGAAUAAGCACCGGCUAAUUCCGUGCCAGCAGCCGCGGUAAUACGGAAGGUGCAAGCGUUAAUCGGAACUACUGGGCGUAAAGCGCGCGUAGGUGGUUUGUUAAGUUGGAUGUGAAAGCCCUGGGCUCAACCUAGGAACUGCAUCCAAAACUAACUCACUAGAGUACGAUAGAGGGAGGUAGAAUUCAUAGUGUAGCGGUGGAAUGCGUAGAUAUUAUGAAGAAUACCAGUGGCGAAGGCGGCCUCCUGGAUCUGUACUGGCACUGAGGUGCGAAAGCGUGGGUAGCGAACAGGAUUAGAUACCCUGGUAGUCCACGCCGUAAACGAUGACAACUAGCUGUUGGAAGACAACGUCUUUCAGUGGCGCAGCUAACGUUUUAAGUUGUCCGCCUGGGGAGUACGGCCGCAAGGCUAAAACUCAAAUGAAUUGACGG
rnacentral:rRNA from 1 species